UAAGAUAUGGAUGUCCUUCUCUUGACCCACACUCCGUAAAGGAGACAGGUCUGAUAAAUCUAGAGUUGACUUGUUUUGAUAUUAUUAGAAUGAACUGGCAGUUUAUGAAAACAUAUCUGUCAUCUCAUAUUGUAAUAUGAUAAUUAUGAUGUUUAUUCACCUCAUUAAGGACCCGGGGGUGGGAGGGUAUGUACAGUUUAAAUAGAAGGUAACUAUAACAAUAUGAAAUAAAUAGCAAUCAUGCAGAUGUACUACUACUGCAAGAGUUCACAUUGCUGCACUGCACACAUUUAACAUACAUGUAGUGUUACAUAUGUAAUACUGAUUUCAGACAAGAUUUUAAAAAUUAACAUAAUAAAAUACAUGUUAUGUGUGUAAUUUUCAAUAUAUCAGCAUUUUAAAGUUCACUAAACAUGCAUUGAGACACACGAUUUUAAAAUUGACACUGUCUGACACAGUAUAAUUAAUGAUUAAUACUGACUGUGCAAAUAUUAAUUAUGAUGAUUUUUUUUCUAAGCAUCAUCCUAAGGACCAGUGCAAGUUGAAAUGGGCUUCCAGCCAACAACUUCAACAGCAAUUUGCCAUGAAAAUCAGCAAGAAAGGUACUUCAUUUACAUUGAUGAUGUCAUAUCCCCUGGACCCCACAACUUCACAGGUUACAGAGAAAAUUCAAGAACUUCUGCAAAAUGUGGGACUUGGAUAGAAUCAAUAAUGUAUUUGUGAGCCCAGAGCAAUGGAUAUAUUGUGCAACAUACUAAAGUGUGAAUUUAAUGGAAAACAAGUACAUGUACUCAUGUAUUACAUGUCUUUUUUAAAGACAAUAAUAUUGUAUAAAUAUAGAGGAAGUGUCAUUGUUGAUUAUUCUAAGUUUUUGAUAUAUCAAAAUCAGUAAACAUUUCUAAAUGAAAAUAAAAUACCAAUUUUAUAACUUUAA